AAGUUGGAAUUGCUAGUAAUCGCGGAUCAGCAUGCCGCGGUGAAUACGUUCCCGGGCCUUGUACACACCGCCCGUCACACCAUGGGAGCCGGUAAUACCCGAAGUCAGUAGCCUAACCGCAAGGAGGGCGCUGCCGAAGGUAGGAUUGGCGACCGGGGUGAAGUCGUAACAAGGUACC
rnacentral:rRNA from 1 species